UACGGGAGUGGCAAGCGUUAUCCGGAAUUAUUGGGCGUAAAGCGUCCGCAGGCGGUCUUGUAAGUCUGUCGUUAAAGCGUGGAGCUUAACUCCAUUUCAGCGAUGGAAACUGCAAGACUAGAGUGUGGUAGGGGCAGAGGGAAUUCCCGGUGUAGCGGUGAAAUGCGUAGAUAUCGGGAAGAACACCAGUGGCGAAGGCGCUCUGCUGGGCCAUAACUGACGCUCAUGGACGAAAGCCAGGGGAGCGAAAGGG
rnacentral:rRNA from 1 species